UUCGCAAUGCCCGAAAGGGUGACGAAGCGACGCCGCGUGGGUGAGGAAGGCCUUCGGGUUGUAAAGCCCUGUCAGGAGUUAAGAAAUGUAAGUGUGUUAAUACCACAUUUAUUUGACGAAGGCUCCAAAGGAAGUCACGGCUAACUCUGUGCCAGCAGCCGCGGUAAUACAGAGGUGGCAAGCGUUGUUCGGAAUUAUUGGGCGUAAAGAGCACGUAGGUGGGUUUGUAAGUCAGAUGUGAAAGCCUCCUGUUCAACGGGAGAAUUACAUCUGAAACUACAGAUCUUGAGUGUAGGAGGGGAGAAUGGAACUUCUGGUGGAGCGGUGAAAUGCGUAGAUAUCAGAAGGAACGCCGGCGGCGAAAGCGAUUCUCUGGCCUAUUACUGACACUCAGUGUGCGAAAGCUAGGGGAGCAAACGGGAUUAGAUACCCCGGUAGUCCUAGCCGUAAACGAUGGGCACUAAGUAGAGGGGUUUUA
rnacentral:rRNA from 1 species